AUAGUUUGAUCAUGGCUAAUGGACGAACGCUGGCGGCGUGCCUAAUACAUGCAAGUCGAGCGAACUAAUGGGAGCUUGCUCUCUGAUAUUAGCGGCGGACGGGUGAGUAACACGUGGGUAACCUGCCUGUAAGACUGGGAUAACUUCGGGAAACCGAGGCUAAUACCGGAUACUUUCUUUUCUCGCAUGAUGGAAGAUGGAAAGAUGGUUUCGGCUAUCACUUACAGAUGGACCCGCGGCGCAUUAGCUAGUUGGUGAGGUAAUGGCUCACCAAGGCAACGAUGCGUAGCCGACCUGAGAGGGUGAUCGGCCACACUGGGACUGAUACACGGCCCAGACUCCUACGGGAGGCAGCAGUAGGGAAUCUUCCGCAAUGGACGAAAGUCUGACGGAGCAACGCCGCGUGAGCGAUGAAGGCCUUCGGGUCGUAAAGCUCUGUUGUUAGGGAAGAACAAGUAUCGGAGUAACU
rnacentral:rRNA from 1 species